AGGGGACCUUCCUGACCCAGGGACUGAACCCAAAUUUCUUAUAUCUCUUGCAUUGGCAGACUCUGAGGACCUACAAACGGUCCCUACCAAGAGCACCUCCCUUAGAGAAGCGGAGACAAAGAUAACCAAGAAACUAUUCCUGCCCUUGAGGAACCCACACUUCAGUGAGUCAUCCAACCUAACAAGUAAUUAGAAUGGAAAUACUCAAAGCAGUCUGGAUGCCAGAGUUAGGCCUCGGGGAGCAGUGCGGUUUGGGGUAGCAGUUCGGGUGCUCUCCCGCCGGGGUAGUAGUUACAACCAUGAGUUCACUCUAAGAGAAUGUGAGAAAUGAAAAGCACUCAGGAGACACCAGCGUCUAACGGAUGAAGGACAGAGGAAGCAGCCAUGAAGAAGAUGUGAAGGCAGGCUGGAAGAAUGGAAGAAAGAUAAGAAGAGGAGCUCACUGAGGCUGUGGAUACAGAGCAGUGAAGUGGACCAGGUCCCUCUCUUCACGGAGUGCCUGUCCUUGUUGGGGAGACUGAUGUGAAACAAGUCCGGAGAUACAAGUGCUGUGAAGAAACACAAAAUAGGGCACACUUCAUCUGGACUACUACGUGUGGACAAAUGAGUCUGAAGCCAUGGGAAGAGGUCAGAAAUAUCAUCACUUCAUCUUCUACCUCUAGUUUCAAGAUCAGCCUGCUUCCUUACACCCAGUUGCCAAGUGAUGUGGCACAAAUUCCAUCAUGUCAGUCCCUGUUUGAAAUCUAUCCAUUUCCCCUAAUCUUUCUAGAAUAAAUUCCAAACUCCUUAAUAUGAUCUUACAAGUCAUUUUUUUUUUUUUUUUAUGGCCAUGCCUCAUGGGUUGUGGGAUCUUAUUUCCCCAACCAAGGAUUGAACCUGGGCCCUCAGCAGUGAAAGCAUGGAGUUCUAACCACUGGACCGCCAGGUAAUUCCCUGGCCAGGCAUUUUUUUACACUUUGCCUCAUGUACCUAAUGUGUGGGCAAUACUGAAGCCUUGUUUCUCAAAGGCCUCUUUCCUUUUCAAGUUUCUGUGGAAGUUUUGUAACAUAGCAUCUUUGUACCUCCAGAUCUAACAUAAUACCUGGUACAAAGUAGAUGUUCAGUACAUGCUCAUUGAAUAAAGAUGCGCACAGAGGUUGAAGGUAAGAAACCAAUCAGAAAAAAAAAGAAAGAAAGAAACCAAUCAGAAGACGACUUUGUUGUUGUUCAGUUGCCAGGUCUUGUCCCACUCUUUGCAAUCCCAGGGACUGCAGCACACCAGUUUCCU